rnacentral:rRNA from 1 species
AGCCGAAGUGAGUGAUACCCUGCUUCCAGGAAAAGCCACUAAGCUUCAGCUAUUGACGACCGUACCGCAAACCGACACUGGUGCGCGAGAUGAGUAUUCUAAGGCGCUUGAGAGAACUCGGGAGAAGGAACUCGGCAAAUUGACACCGUAACUUCGGAAGAAGGUGUGCCUCUAG